CCUGCACCUGCCGGCGACCCGGCGCACGGGUGAGUAACACGUAUGGAACCUGCCCGCCACAGGGGGAUAACCCGGGGAAACCCGGCCUAAUACCCCAUGCCGCCCGGACCGGGCAUCCGGUCCGGGCGAAAGGAGGAAUCCGGUGGCGGCUGGGCAUGCGGCGCAUUAGCUUGACGGCGGGGUAACGGCCCACCGUGGCAACGAUGCGUAGGGGUUCUGAGAGGAAGGCCCCCCACACUGGAACUGAGACACGGUCCAGACUCCUACGGAAGGCAGCAG
rnacentral:rRNA from 1 species